rnacentral:rRNA from 1 species
GGUAACAUCAAAUCGUACCCCAAACCGACACAGGUGGUCAGGUAGAGAAUACCAAGGCGCUUGAGAGAACUCGGGUGAAGGAACUAGGCAAAAUGGUGCCGUAACUUCGGGAGAAGGCACGCUGACACGUAGGUGAAGUGAUUUACUCACGGAGCUGAAGUCAGUCGAAGAUACCAGCUGGCUGCAACUGUUUAUUAAAAACACAGCACUGUGCAAACACGAAAGUGGACGUAUACGGUGUGACGCCUGCCCGGUGCCGGAAGGUUAAUUGAUGGGG